AAUGAACGCUAGCGGUAGGCCUAACACAUGCAAGUUGAACGCAUACUUUUACAGUAUAAGUAGCAAACGGGUGAGUAACGCGUGAGAAAUCUACCUUACAAUCUGGGAUAAAAUCCCGGAUUCUUUCUAAACUAGAUGUUCCGACAAAUAGUAUAGAAUAAAAGAUUAAAUGUCGUUGUAAGAUGUGCUCGCGUAGGAUUAGGUAGUUGGUGAGGUAAAAGCUACACCAAGCCGAAGAUCCUUAGCUGGUCUGAGAGGAUGAUCAGCCACACUGGGACUGAGACACGGCCCAGACGCUUUCGAGCGGCAGCAGUGAGGAAUUUUGGACAAUGGGCGAAAGCCUGAUCCAGCCAUAUCGCAUGAGUGAAGAAGGCUCAAUUGGUUGUAAAGCUCUGAUUUGAUUGAAGAUUAUGACAUAAGAUAAAAGAAUAGUCCCGGCUAACUUCGUG
rnacentral:rRNA from 1 species